rnacentral:rRNA from 1 species
CCUANGGGUGGCAGCAGUAAGGAAUAUUGGGCAAUGGACGCAAGUCUGACCCAGCCAUGCCGCGUGAAGGAUGACAGCCCUAUGGGUUGUAAACUUCUUUUAUACGGGAAAAAACCCCUGAUCGUGUAUCGGGGCUGAUGGUACCGUAAGAAUAAGGAUCGGCUAACUCCGUGCCAGCAGCCGCGGUAAUACGGAGGAUCCAAGCGUUAUCCGGAUUUAUUGGGUUUAAAGGGUGCGUAGGCGGGAUGAUAAGUCAGUGGUGAAAUCCUACAGCUUAACUGUAGAACUGCCAUUGAUACUGUCAACCUUGAGUACAUUUGAAGUGGGCGGAAUGUGUCAUGUAGCGGUGAAAUGCUUAGAUAUGACACAGAACACCGAUAGCGAAGGCAGCUCACUAAACUGUUACUGACGCUGAGGCACGAAAGCGUGGGGAUCAAACAGGAUUAGAUACCCUANUANUC